GUGUGCGUGGUAGAAUGGCAGACACGCCCGACUUAGGAUCGGAUGUCGCAAGACGUGGGGGUUCAAGUCCCCCCGCAUGUACCA
rnacentral:tRNA from 1 species